rnacentral:misc_RNA from 1 species
AACGCACAUUGCGCCCUCUGGUAUUCCGGAGGGCAUGCCUGUUCGAGCGUCAUUAUCAACCAUCAAGCUCUGCUUGGCAUUGGGCGCCGACCUCCCCUCACCGGGGGGUCGCGCCUCAAACUGUUCGGCGGUGGCUCGUGGCCUCAAGCGUUAGUAAUACUUCCCGCUUCAGAGAAAAUGAGUUGCCUGCCUCUAGAAACCCACAUCUUAAGGUUGACCUCGGAUCAGGUAGGGAUACCCGCUGAACUUAA